GGGUUGUGAGGUUAAGCGACUAAGCGUACACGGUGGAUGCCCUGGCAGUCAGAGGCGAUGAAGGACGUGCUAAUCUGCGAUAAGCGUCGGUAAGGUGAUAUGAACCGUUAUAACCGGCGAUUUCCGAAUGGGGAAACCCAGUGUGAUUCGUCACACUAUCAUUAACUGAAUCCAUAGGUUAAUGAGGCGAACCGGGGGAACUGAAACAUCUAAGUACCCCGAGGAAAAGAAAUCAACCGAGAUUCCCCCAGUAGCGGCGAGCGAACGGGGAGGAGCCCAGAGCCUGAAUCAGUGUGUGUGUUAGUGGAAGCGUCUGGAAAGGCGCGCGAUACAGGGUGACAGCCCCGUACACAAAAAUGCACAUACUGUGAGCUCGAUGAGUAGGGCGGGACACGUGGUAUCCUGUCUGAAUAUGGGGGGACCAUCCUCCAAGGCUAAAUACUCCUGACUGACCGAUAGUGAACCAGUACCGUGAGGGAAAGGCGAAAAGAACCCCGGCGAGGGGAGUGAAAAAGAACCUGAAACCGUGUACGUACAAGCAGUGGGAGCCUCUUUAUGGGGUGACUGCGUACCUUUUGUAUAAUGGGUCAGCGACUUAUAUUCUGUAGCAAGGUUAACCGAAUAGGGGAGCCGAAGGGAAACCGAGUCUUAACUGGGCGUUAAGUUGCAGGGUAUAGACCCGAAACCCGGUGAUCUAGCCAUGGGCAGGUUGAAGGUUGGGUAACACUAACUGGAGGACCGAACCGACUAAUGUUGAAAAAUUAGCGGAUGACUUGUGGCUGGGGGUGAAAGGCCAAUCAAACCGGGAGAUAGCUGGUUCUCCCCGAAAGCUAUUUAGGUAGCGCCUCGUGAAUUCAUCUCCGGGGGUAGAGCACUGUUUCGGCAAGGGGGUCAUCCCGACUUACCAACCCGAUGCAAACUGCGAAUACCGGAGAAUGUUAUCACGGGAGACACACGGCGGGUGCUAACGUCCGUCGUGAAGAGGGAAACAACCCAGACCGCCAGCUAAGGUCCCAAAGUCAUGGUUAAGUGGGAAACGAUGUGGGAAGGCCCAGACAGCCAGGAUGUUGGCUUAGAAGCAGCCAUCAUUUAAAGAAAGCGUAAUAGCUCACUGGUCGAGUCGGCCUGCGCGGAAGAUGUAACGGGGCUAAACCAUGCACCGAAGCUGCGGCAGCGACGCUUAUGCGUUGUUGGGUAGGGGAGCGUUCUGUAAGCCUGCGAAGGUGUGCUGUGAGGCAUGCUGGAGGUAUCAGAAGUGCGAAUGCUGACAUAAGUAACGAUAAAGCGGGUGAAAAGCCCGCUCGCCGGAAGACCAAGGGUUCCUGUCCAACGUUAAUCGGGGCAGGGUGAGUCGACCCCUAAGGCGAGGCCGAAAGGCGUAGUCGAUGGGAAACAGGUUAAUAUUCCUGUACUUGGUGUUACUGCGAAGGGGGGACGGAGAAGGCUAUGUUGGCCGGGCGACGGUUGUCCCGGUUUAAGCGUGUAGGCUGGUUUUCCAGGCAAAUCCGGAAAAUCAAGGCUGAGGCGUGAUGACGAGGCACUACGGUGCUGAAGCGACAAAUGCCCUGCUUCCAGGAAAAGCCUCUAAGCAUCAGGUAACAUCAAAUCGUACCCCAAACCGACACAGGUGGUCAGGUAGAGAAUACCAAGGCGCUUGAGAGAACUCGGGUGAAGGAACUAGGCAAAAUGGUGCCGUAACUUCGGGAGAAGGCACGCUGAUAUGUAGGUGAAGCGACUUGCUCGUGGAGCUGAAAUCAGUCGAAGAUACCAGCUGGCUGCAACUGUUUAUUAAAAACACAGCACUGUGCAAACACGAAAGUGGACGUAUACGGUGUGACGCCUGCCCGGUGCCGGAAGGUUAAUUGAUGGGGUUAGCGGUAACGCGAAGCUCUUGAUCGAAGCCCCGGUAAACGGCGGCCGUAACUAUAACGGUCCUAAGGUAGCGAAAUUCCUUGUCGGGUAAGUUCCGACCUGCACGAAUGGCGUAAUGAUGGCCAGGCUGUCUCCACCCGAGACUCAGUGAAAUUGAACUCGCUGUGAAGAUGCAGUGUACCCGCGGCAAGACGGAAAGACCCCGUGAACCUUUACUAUAGCUUGACACUGAACAUUGAGCCUUGAUGUGUAGGAUAGGUGGGAGGCUUUGAAGUGUGGACGCCAGUCUGCAUGGAGCCGACCUUGAAAUACCACCCUUUAAUGUUUGAUGUUCUAACGUUGGCCCCUUAUCGGGGUUGCGGACAGUGUCUGGUGGGUAGUUUGACUGGGGCGGUCUCCUCCUAAAGAGUAACGGAGGAGCACGAAGGUUGGCUAAUCCUGGUCGGACAUCAGGAGGUUAGUGCAAUGGCAUAAGCCAGCUUGACUGCGAGCGUGACGGCGCGAGCAGGUGCGAAAGCAGGUCAUAGUGAUCCGGUGGUUCUGAAUGGAAGGGCCAUCGCUCAACGGAUAAAAGGUACUCCGGGGAUAACAGGCUGAUACCGCCCAAGAGUUCAUAUCGACGGCGGUGUUUGGCACCUCGAUGUCGGCUCAUCACAUCCUGGGGCUGAAGUAGGUCCCAAGGGUAUGGCUGUUCGCCAUUUAAAGUGGUACGCGAGCUGGGUUUAGAACGUCGUGAGACAGUUCGGUCCCUAUCUGCCGUGGGCGCUGGAGAACUGAGGGGGGCUGCUCCUAGUACGAGAGGACCGGAGUGGACGCAUCACUGGUGUUCGGGUUGUCAUGCCAAUGGCACUGCCCGGUAGCUAAAUGCGGAAGAGAUAAGUGCUGAAAGCAUCUAAGCACGAAACUUGCCCCGAGAUGAGUUCUCCCUGACUCCUUGAGAGUCCUGAAGGAACGUUGAAGACGACGACGUUGAUAGGCCGGGUGUGUAAGCGCAGCGAUGCGUUGAGCUAACCGGUACUAAUGAACCGUGAGGCUUAACCUUACAACGCCGAAGGUGUUU
rnacentral:rRNA from 1 species